GACGAACGCUGGCGGCGUGCCUAAUACAUGCCAGUCGAACGAACCGCGACUAGGUGCUUGCACUUGGUCAAGGUGAGUGGCGAACGGGUGAGUAACACGUGGGUAACCUACCUCAUAGUGGGGGAUAACAGUCGGAAACGACUGCUAAUACCGCAUAGGACAUAGGAUCACAUGAUCCAGUGAGGAAAGGUGGCGCAAGCUAUCGCUAAGAGAUGGACCCGCGGUGCAUUAGCUAGUUGGUAGGGUAAAGGCCUACCAAGGCGAUGAUGCAUAGCCGACCUGAGAGGGGGAUCGGCCACAUUGGGACUGAGACACGGCCCAAACUCCUACGGGAGGCAGCAGUAGGGAAUCUUCCGCAAUGGACGCAAGUCUGACGGAGCAACGCCGCGUGAGUGAAGAAGGUCUUCGGAUCGUAAAGCUCUGUAGUUAGAGAAGAACAGCGCAUAGAGUAACUGUUAUGCGUGUGACGGUAUCUAACCAGAAAGCCACGGCUAACUACGUG
rnacentral:rRNA from 1 species